rnacentral:rRNA from 1 species
GUAGCAGCACUACAGACUCGUGUGCACAUACCAAUUGUUGCCUCGGCGGAUCAGCCCGCUCCCGGUAAAACGGGACGGCCCGCCAGAGGACCCCUAAACUCUGUUUCUAUAUGUAACUUCUGAGUAAAACCAUAAAUAAAUCAAAACUUUCAACAACGGAUCUCUUGGUUCUGGCAUCGAUGAAGAACGCAGCAAAAUGCGAUAAGUAAUGUGAAUUGCAGAAUUCAGUGAAUCAUCGAAUCUUUGAACGCACAUUGCGCCCGCCAGUAUUCUGGCGGGCAUGCCUGUUCGAGCGUCAUUUCAACCCUCAAGCCCAGCUUGGUGUUGGGACUCGCGAGUCAAAUCGCGUUCCCCAAAUUGAUUGGCGGUCACGUCGAGCUUCCAUAGCGUAGUAGUAAAACCCUCGUUACUGGUAUCGUCGCGGCCACGCCGUUAACCCCAACUUCUGAAUGUUGACCUCGGAUCAGGUAGGAAUACCCGCUGAACUUAAGCAUAUCUAAAACCG